GAUGAAGAAUGUAGCAAAAUGCGAUAAGUAAUGUGAAUUGCAGAAUUCAGUGAAUCAUCGAAUCUUUGAACGCACAUUGCGCCCGCUGGUAUUCCGGCGGGCAUGCCUGUUCGAGCGUCAUUUCAACCCUCAAGCCCCCGGGUUUGGUGUUGGGGAUCGGCUCUGCCCUUCUGGGCGGUGCCGCCCCCGAAAUACAUUGGCGGUCUCGCUGCAGCCUCCAUUGCGUAGUAGCUAACACCUCGCAACUGGAACGCGGCGCGGCCAUGCCGUAAAACCCCAACUUCUGAAUGUUGACCUCGGAUCAGGUAGGAAUACCCGCUGAACUUAAGCAUAUCAAUAAGCGGAGGA
rnacentral:misc_RNA from 1 species